GCUGGCGGCGUGCCUAAUACAUGCAAGUCGAACGAGUUCUCGUUGAUGAUCGGUGCUUGCACCGAGAUUCAACAUGGAACGAGUGGCGGACGGGUGAGUAACACGUGGGUAACCUGCCCUUAAGUGGGGGAUAACAUUUGGAAACAGAUGCUAAUACCGCAUAGAUCCAAGAACCGCAUGGUUCUUGGCUGAAAGAUGGCGUAAGCUAUCGCUUUUGGAUGGACCCGCGGCGUAUUAGCUAGUUGGUGAGGUAAUGGCUCACCAAGGCGAUGAUACGUAGCCGAACUGAGAGGUUGAUCGGCCACAUUGGGACUGAGACACGGCCCAAACUCCUACGGGAGGCAGCAGUAGGGAAUCUUCCACAAUGGACGCAAGUCUGAUGGAGCAACGCCGCGUGAGUGAAGAAGGCUUUCGGGUCGUAAAACUCUGUUGUUGGAGAAGAAUGGUCGGCAGAGUAACUGUUGUCGGCGUGACGGUAUCCAACCAGAAAGCCACGGCUAACUACGUGCCAGCAGCCGCGGUAAUACGUAGGUGGCAAGCGUUAUCCGGAUUUAUUGGGCGUAAAGCGAGCGCAGGCGGUUUUUUAAGUCUGAUGUGAAAGCCCUCGGCUUAACCGAGGAAGCGCAUCGGAAACUGGGAAACUUGAGUGCAGAAGAGGACAGUGGAACUCCAUGUGUAGCGGUGAAAUGCGUAGAUAUAUGGAAGAACACCAGUGGCGAAGGCGGCUGUCUGGUCUGUAACUGACGCUGAGGCUCGAAAGCAUGGGUAGCGAACAGGAUUAGAUACCCUGGUAGUCCAUGCCGUAAACGAUGAAUGCUAGGUGUUGGAGGGUUUCCGCCCUUCAGUGCCGCAGCUAACGCAUUAAGCAUUCCGCCUGGGGAGUACGACCGCAAGGUUGAAACUCAAAGGAAUUGACGGGGGCCCGCACAAGCGGUGGAGCAUGUGGUUUAAUUUGAAGCAACGCGAAGAACCUUACCAGGUCUUGACAUCUUUUGAUCACCUGAGAGAUCAGGUUUCCCCUUCGGGGGCAAAAUGACAGGUGGUGCAUGGUUGUCGUCAGCUCGUGUCGUGAGAUGUUGGGUUAAGUCCCGCAACGAGCGCAACCCUUAUGACUAGUUGCCAGCAUUUAGUUGGGCACUCUAGUAAGACUGCCGGUGACAAACCGGAGGAAGGUGGGGAUGACGUCAAAUCAUCAUGCCCCUUAUGACCUGGGCUACACACGUGCUACAAUGGAUGGUACAACGAGUUGCGAGACCGCGAGGUCAAGCUAAUCUCUUAAAGCCAUUCUCAGUUCGGACUGUAGGCUGCAACUCGCCUACACGAAGUCGGAAUCGCUAGUAAUCGCGGAUCAGCACGCCGCGGUGAAUACGUUCCCGGGCCUUGUACACACCGCCCGUCACACCAUGAGAGUUUGUAACACCCGAAGCCGGUGGCGUAACCCUUUUAGGGAGCGAGCCGU
rnacentral:rRNA from 1 species